AACACUAAUGCACACGCUCAUUUGGAAAUUCAUACUCUUUGACACAUAAAUAUAAUGUGAAACAAUAAGUCACGCAACAUUUUCCACAAAUGCACACGCUAAUUCUGAAGUUCACACUCUGUGGUUCACAAAUAUAAUUUGUAAGAACACUUGUAAUAUAAACUCACAGAUCAUACGAAUAGCUGAAUGUGCAUUUACGAACAGCUUCUCAUUUGUGAACCUUUCUGCGUUUGUGAGUGAAAUCUGUGUGGUGCAUUCACGAACAGCUUCUCAUUUGUGAACCUUCCUGCAUUCGUGAGAGAAAUCGGUGUGCUGAAUUUUGAGACUCUCCUAACGUCGCAGAUCAACAAACGUCACCAUUGGCUAACGAAUCUGUCAAUCAAAUAUAUGAUUCUGCCAGGGCUGUUCGAUUUCAGCCAGUCAUAUGGCUCCUUAUAUUACGGAACAGAUCUGCUGUGCGCAUGCGUAUUGCAGUUCACAUGGCAGAGCGGGAUGGACCGGUCACAAUCUGUGAGUAACAGUUUUAUCUUAUUCCCUCGUUGUAAUUUAUGCAAUGUUAUAGAAUUAUGAGUAGAAGCGUUCUUCAUGGUCAAGUAAAAUGUUUUAUGUUAAAUUCAGUCCAGACGUUACGUGAAGUCUGGUACAUUCUUCAUCUAGUUUAACAUCAAGCUAAACUCAGGCGAACAUUUGUUAGUUAGCGUGUCUAGGUACCAUUUUUUUAGGCCACGGUUGUCAAACUCAAGCCCUUGGUCUAUUUUUUUUUGCCCCGCGAAAUCAAAUAUCAAAUAUAUAAUAUUAAAACUGGCCCGCCGGGUGAUUUUGCAGAUAAGACUACUAAUCCCACAGUGCUUUGCAGCGUUUGCGCGCGAGACGAAGCAAGCCCUCUUUUAUGUUUACGAUCAUUAGCAUCCAUGCUAGUAGAAUCAGCGUGUGCAGCGUUACCCUCAGUCUUAAACAACUGAAGAUACUCCUCUAAGCGCCCAGUUUACUCAGCGAGUUUCCGACUUUGAACGCCUAGAAAGAAGGUAUCUGGUUGGAAAAGGUGACCAUCAGAUUGGAGCGAACUGAGCUUGAAAUAUUUAAUUGUCAUGCACUUUUUCUGCUCCAAAGCAUGAAAGUUAAUAACUGAGAUAUUUUCAUAGAAGAUAAUUGCUAUUUUUGGUUUUUGUUGUUGGCCUGUGAAAAAAAGAUUAAACUUACUCUAAAAUGGGAACUGGACAGACUACAAAUUGAAGAAUAGAAUAGAAAAUCCCUUUAUUGUCCCUCAGUGGGGAAACUGUGGUGUCACAGCAGCAAUAACGUUCAUUACAGGAGCCAAACAGGAGAGUAAAACAUAAUAAUAAAGAGUAAACUAAAAGAAAACAUAAAACAGACAAACUUAAAAUAUCCAAAAGGUAAAACAAUCUAAAUACUGAAUAUGUACACAUUGUAAGGAGUAAAAAGAGUAAAUAAAAAUUGAGACAUAAGUAACGAGUGAUGUGUUUUAUUUAAAACACGUGUGUAAUUUGGUCAUAUCAGAUUCUGUGUUCAGAUGCAAAAAUAAGUUUCUUUCCAAUUGAAUAACAAGACAUCUGUAAAUAAACUUUUCAAUAAAUAUUGAGUUUGGGCCGCAAUUUUGUCCCAGUUUUUAAUUUGGUCCUAUUGUGAAUUUGAGUUUGACACCCCUGCUUUAGGCUGUGCGUGCAGUAAUAAGGAGACAGACACUGGCUGAGCCAGUGCAUAAAUGUUUGAUUUUCUGGCGGUGGGCAAUAGUUAAAGAAAUAUUUUUUUUUUAAAUAAAAUACAUCUUUAAAUUUUGGCCAAUGAGCUCUGGCACAUAAUAAACAGAAAUACUGCUUCAUCAUUUCAUGUACCUUUGAAUCUACAGUUGGUCUUAUUUAAAAAUGUUUUUUUAUUAAAACUAGCAUAGCUGGAGUGUUAAAAAAAUAAAAGUGCCAUAAGAUAUUUGGAAGUUGUUAUUUUAUUUCUAUUACCCAACAGUUAUCCAAUUCAUGUUUGUUCAGUUUUUUUUUUUUUUUUUUUUUUUUCCCUCUAGGAAUCAUUGAGGCUUGACAUCCUUCAAAGGUUGUACGAUCGACUGUCAAGCAUCUUGGAGAGGCAACCUGUUGAUGGGGAAGGGCUACAGUUUGCUUGUCACCAUUAUUUAGUUUUAUUAGGUGCUCUAGGUGACAUUGUUGAUGUAGGAGAGGAUAUACUUUCUGCUCUUUCAGAUCUGAAUACUAUUAUCCAGCAGGAAAGAGAUAAUCAAAAGGCAUUAAUAACGGUACACGUUGAAAGAGGUUCUCGUGGCCGCCCACGACUGGCGGUGUCGCGAGAGGCUCUCGAACACCUUGUGGAAAUGGGUCUGCCAACAAGUGUCAUUACCAAACUCCUUGGUGUAUCCAGAGUAACUCUAUUUAGACGGAUGUCUGAAAAUAUUAUACCUGUAUCUGCCACAUACAGUAAAUGCAGUUAUGAGGAACUAGAUUCAUUUAUCACAGUAAUUAAGAGCAACAUGCCAGAUGCUGGGUACAGGGUAGUCCGAGGUGCUCUACUUCCCCAGGGACAUAGAGUACAGUGGGACCGACUGUAUGCAUCGUGUGGACAGUGCGGGUGUACUUGCUCGAAUGACAUGUCUGGGAUGUGUAGUGAGAAGGACGUACACAGUUCCUUGCCCAAAGUAUAUGGUGCACAUUGACAUCAGGUAAUGUCUGUGUGUAAUUGGAGAUGUUAUUUUUUGUUUUGGGAGUUGCAUUUUUAAUUGUCUGUGUUUUAACAGGUACAAUUUUAUUAUCUUUGGGGGAAUAGACGGCUAUUCAAGGAAGAUCAUGUACCUGAAGGUAGCUGACAACAACCGGGCAGACACCCACCUUGCCUCUUCAGUGAAGCUGUGAAUGAGCAUGGCUUUCCUCUGAGGGUGAGAGGAGAUCAUGGCAGAGAAAAUGCAGGUGAUGCAGAAUUAAUGUUCUCAGUUCGUGGAACUGACACCAACAGCUUCAUUGCAGGAAAAAGUGUACACAAUCAGCGGUGAGUUUAACCUAAUUUGGAAGCUUUGUGUGUGUGUGCGCGCGUGCCUGUGCCUGUUGACCUGCCCAGGGUGUACCCUUCGUCUCACACUUUGACUGCUGGAGAUAGGCACCAGUCCCCCUGUGACCAUUCAAAAGAUAACUCAAGUUGAAAAUGGAUGAAUGGACAUGUAAAUGUGUGUGUAUAUUUUAAUUUUCUUUUAUUUAAUCCCCCUCCAAAUCCAGAAUUGAGCGCCUCUGACGUGAUGUCUUCAUGAGUGUUACUGGUUUAUAUUAGAACAUCCUGCACUCUCUGGAAGACCAAGACUUGCUCGACAUCAGUAACAUCCUUCACCUGUUUUGUUGCCACUAUAUUUUCUUGUCUCGCAUCCAGGCCAGCCUGGAUGUCUUUAGAGAUGCAUGGGACAACCAUCCAAUCAGGACAGAGGAAAACAUGACACCAAAUCAGCUGUGGCAUCUGGGCCAGGCUCUGAAUCCUGUUUCUGAUCCAGGGGCAAAUAGUAUACCGAUACCAGAGAUUGAAUGGGAGGAAAAUGGAUACAUGACUGAACCUCAUCCUGGGAUCAAUGUCCCUGUACUGGACAGUCCUCUUUCAGAUCAUGAAAUGUUGGAACUGCAGGACAGCAUUAAUCCGUUGCAACAUUUAGAC